UUUUAUGUAACCCUGGAAGUUAAUAUCUAAAUUGAUUAUAAAAUAUAUACCUGUAUACACAUAUACUGAGUUGAGCAGCAUCCCUUCGAGUUUCAUGUCCACCUGGAACCUCAGAUUAUGACCUUAUUAGGAAAUAAGAUCUUUGCAGAUGUCAAGAUGAGUUCAUGCUAGAUUAGAGCAGGUCUUAACCCAAUGGUCCGUAUCCCUAUAAAAAGAGGGAAAUCUGGACACAGAGGGCUGCACAGCAGACGUGUCUUCACCGUGUGAAGACAGAGGCAGAGGUUGGCGUGACCUGCCUACAGUCAAGGAAGGUAAAGGAUUCUUGGCAACAACCAGAAGCUGCGAGUGGCUGGAACAGAUGCUCCCUCUGAACCUCCAGAGGGAACCAGCCUGCUGACAACCUGAUUUCAGAAUGCCGCCUCCAGAACUGUGAGGGAAUCACUUCCUGUUGUUUCAGCCCCCCCGCUCUGUGGACUUUGUUAUUGGUGGCCCUAGGAAACUAGUAACAUACGUAUUUAUAUAAACACACACAUAUGCAUAUACACACACACAUCUGGAAUAAAUCUCACAUUCUCUUUGACUUCAGCAAGUCCCAGCUUGGAGGCAUUGGAAUAAAAAGCAAGAACAAAUGAAAAGCCCGGCAUAGGAAACUUGACUCAAUGGGGAAGUUGGAGGGCCCCUCCAGCUUAUCAAUGGGCUACACAGCCAGGCAGAAUAUACUCCUUCCUUUACACCCUUACCAAGGUUCCUGUUGUUUCAGCCCCCCAGUCUGUGGACUUUGUUCCGAGCCGACUAGUACAGUUCCUAAGGAGGGCGUGGGCCUUGGAUAUUAGGGGGACAGCCAGAGGCCAGUGCGCCUGGAGCAGGGAGAGGAGGAGAACAGCAGAGGAGCGUGAUGGGGGGGGUGCUCACAUGGUGUCAUGAUUCGCUGGCCAUGGGAGUCUGACGCUGGCUGUGAGUGACUUCGAGCCUACAAGUGGCCUGAUGAGGCAGCUUCACCAGAUCCCUGUGUACCUUGAGAACAGACACUGGGAUGAUACUGUCAUUCAAGGCUGGGGUCAGAGUGGGCUCGUACCUGUGACACUGAUGUGCCAGGUUGGAGCCCUGAUAUAAUCUGAAGUUAGAGCCAUCAGAAUUUCUUGACGUAUAAGGAUGUUACUAGAUUUUACUACAAUUUAAAAAAUUCAAAAAGGAUGUGUGGAAGGUUAAAUAACACAGAGUCACUUUUGUGAAGGGUUCUGAAAUGGAGCUGGGAGGCCAUGAAGGAAGUGUGCUUGAUGCAAGUCCUCACUGAGUGGAAGCAGGAACUUCUGGGCUGGGCCACACUGCAAAUGCCCCGAGGACUCUGCAGGAGCUCCUGCGACUUGCUGCAGGAAUGGAGCUUUGCUUGGUGAGGGCCUGAGCGUCUUCAGCCCUCAUUCGUUUUCUGCCACCAACACCAAUCAAGAUUCUUUGUAAACAAAUUAUGCAAACAUUCCCUUUUUAUCUUAAAUCCCCUGAUUUUUGCUCCCUGGUGUGGCACUAUUUGGACUGCCACCCAAUUCUAUGUACCCCAAAUUGAAAAUCUUUGAUCCCAAAUGAAUCUUUUCCUCUUGAACUCGUUUCCUGCUUUGAGGUUGAGAUUCCUGGUGGCAGAAGCAGGAUCUGAAAUGACCUCGUGAUCCCGCACUGCCAUCCCCUAGAAUCGCUGAGAUGCCCACGCAAGCCCUUUUGUGCUCCCUGCUGUCUCCCUGACUGUGAGCCCUCUCAGGCUUCAACUUCCCUCCUGUGGGUCGAGGUCCUCGCCUUCCUUGGGAGCUGGGGUGCACCUGCCCUCGUGCUGGGUGCGGCUCUUGAUGCUCGAGGGGUUUCCUUGUCUCUCCCCAGCAUACAACCAAAAGGACAUUAAGCAACAGAAGAUACCCACACAGCACAAUAGGAUGUUUGAGAGAUGCACACAGCCAUAUGUCUGAAGGUGGGAGUACUGGACCCCCAGGAAGCAGUGGGAGGAGGUGAGUGGAUGUCCUCCUCAUCAUUGGCUUGGAUCUAGGUUGCAAGUCCACACAUAAUGGCCGGCACAUGACUCCGUGAGGAGGCAGGGGAGCAGGUGGGCCUCCUUGUGAAUGCUGUCACUUUCAUGGUCACAUCCCAGCCAACAGGGGUGCUCUACAUUGAGGUGGCUCAGCCACUGCAUGGGACCCCCCUCAAGCCCAGCAGCCCAAGUGGACCACCAGUGAGGGCACAGCAGCCUCGUGUGUGAUAGAGGGUGCCCUUCCUAUCCCUUCCUGCCUUGCACCCAGGUCUGGCUGGUCAGCCAGGGCAGUGUAUCCACACCAGAGUGGAUCAGGUAGGCAGACGCAGAUGGGCCCUAUCAGCACAGCUUCUUGCAGAGAGGCACAACUUCUAGCAGAUUCAGAGUGUUCAGAAAACACAGCUCCUGCCCCUCUCAGUGGUGGCAGGUGGAAUCUGUGACCAGAUAACACCACUAUGUGCCGGCAAAGGUCCACUUCAUCAAACACCCUGAAGAAAUACAUUAACACUCCGGACCAGAUGGAAAACGGAAAGUCUCCAGAGACCAAUCUUGAAGUCAGAGAAGUUUUCAAUGUAAAUGAUGAAUUCCAAAUAGUUAUAGAGAAACUCAGUGAGUUACAAGAAAAUUCAGCCAGUUCAAUGAACUCAGGAAGGAAAUUAAGGAGCCAAAGGAAUUCUUCACAAAAGAGGUAGAAACACUAAAAAACACACCAAACAGAACUGCUGAAAUGAAGAACACAAUGAAUGAGAUAAAAACAUUCUAGAGGGCCGGCCCGGUGGCGCAGCAGUUACGGUCACACGUUCUGCUUCAGCGGCCCUGGGUUCACCGUUUCGGAUCCCAGGUGUGGACAUGGCACCGCUUGGCAAGCCAUGCUGUGGUAGGCAUCCCACAUAUAAAGUAGAGGAAGAUGGGCACGGAUGUGAGCUCAGGGCCAGUCUUCCUCAGCAAAAAGAGGAGGAUUGGCAGUAGUUAGCUCAGGGCAAAUCUUCCUCAAAAAAAAAAAAAAAAAAAAGAUUGACUAAGGAUUAUUUGCAUCAACACCAGCAACGUGGGACUAAACAAAUCUACACUUGAUCAGCAAUGCUUUCUGCAAAAAUUCUCCAUCAAGAGGGUUAAAUUUUAAAGAAAACAAGGUCACUUCUGUCGAAGGGCUUUAAAAUGGAGGCGGGAGCCAUUAAGGAAGGAGAGUCGUGCACGUCCUCCU
ensembl:lncRNA